UUCUCGUUAUAUUCUACAACCGGCCCCUUUUUCAUCACUCUUUCUUUUUCUCUUCCUCUUUCUUUCUUUCUUUUUAUCUUUUGAGUUCUUUUCCUUUUUCACUCACCUUUCACAAAAAAAUAGGUGAAAUUCAUCUCUGUCGCUCACAAUUAGCAAAAAAAAUUGUAAACCUCAAACAAAGAAAUCGCAUAAAACCUCAAACCCUCUUAUCAACGAAGAGAAUUCCCACACAAUCGAAGUUUGAAACCAACAAAUCAAUUUCAAGUGUUAAGCUGCUAGGGUCUGGGUCUUCGAAUUCCGACGAGCUGUUUCCAUACGAACCGCGGCGCACUUUACCGUGCCAUGCCGUCGAACACAAUCCUCUCUGCUCUAUCUCCGGCGUUCAAGCCACUAAGUGAUCCGUGGAUUCUUGCGACAUCUGAAAUUGAUUAGAUCAGCCAUUUUCAGUUCUGUCGGUUCGUUUUCGGUUUUCAAAACUUCUUUGUAUGUAUGUACGCAUGGUAAAAUCCAAACAGUCUUAACACCAGUUGAUCUAUUCAAUCUGAUUUCAUCUAUCAUCUCGCACUCGGAUUUCUCUAUCUUUAUUUAUCUAUUACCUCUAAUUUAUAACUUUAAAAUGUUUGACUGUUUUCCCGCUUGGAUCAGUAUGAACAAAAUUCUUGAGCGGAACCAUAAAAGUUGCUAUUCCUCACAAGACAAUGUUGCUGAGAACGAAACACAGCAUGCAUGUUGGUUGGAGUCAAAUGCAAAAUCAUAGGAUCAGAAUUUAAGAUUACCAUAUGUAUUUGAGAGCACAGCUGAUGAAAAUUUUACCGAUUGCAAAUGAUAAAUGUUACGAGCAUGGGAAAAGCAUAACCAAUUUUAUAUCAGCUUUACAGGUAUGCAUUGAUUCCAGAUUCAAACCAUCACUUCCGUUUUGUAUGUUGUUUAUCAUUUUGUGAUCAUAACACUGUCGGGCGGUGUUACUAUUGUGAAUGUUAUGCAAGAAAGCAAAGAAAAUUCUAAUGGGAGAAAGCAAAGUUAAGGUGAAGAUUUUGGUUUGUCCUUUAGCUUUCAAUAAUUUCACUGCUAAUUAGGGGUUUUUCUUCAUAUGUUUUCCUUCGUGUUCAACUUCCGAUUUCACUCAAUUUUAUGUAUUUGCUGAACGCCUUCUUUGUUUUACAAAAUGUUUCUAUAUUCCCAAAUAGUUGUACCAAGAACCAACACUACUUAGAUCACACGGAUGGUACUUGGACCUAAAAAAAGAAUGGUCAAACGGAUCUUUUCUCAAAGUCAAAUCUCAAUUGUACAAAUGACUGAUUUUUUUAA